UCAUUACCUACCAAGGGAGGUCUGGAAGGCCCUGUUCUCCUGCUGCAGGCUCCUAAGUGACGGAAUGGCAGGUGCUGGCAAGCUGCUUGUCUCCAGGGGCCUCGGCCUGAGCCUCACACCGGUGAUGCCAGCCUCACGCCGGUGAUGCCCCCGUCUGUGUGAGGAUUGAGUGGUGCCUCGCGUGUUGGUGAUCGGCACACUCUACCGUGGUCAACAAACCGUGCCUUUCCCUUCCUCGGGCCUCAUUCUUUUCACAGUGAGGGAAACAGCAGCGGCUCCAUAGCUAUGGCCAUGAGAAACAAGAUCCAUUUUCGAGUCCUCCCCCACCCCCAACCUUGCCCCUUUCUUCUUCCCUGGGUCAGCCAGUCACCUCCUGCAUGAUGCUAUCCUUGAGACCUGUCCUGGAUUAGCACCUUGGGCCUCGCGUGUUUUUGUUAAAAUAAACAGGCAUCACACUACU